rnacentral:rRNA from 1 species
ACCCGCUGAACUUAAGCAUAUUACUAAGCGGAGGAAAAGAAAUCAACGAAGAUUGCCUCAGUAGCGGCGAGUGAAGCGGCAAAAGCUCAAGUUUAGAAUCUGUAGCCUUGCGGCUACCGAAUUGUGAUCUAAAGGGGCUAACAAAAGGGGAAGGUGAGGCAUAAGUUCCUUGGAACAGGACAUCAUAGAGGGUGAAAAUCCCGUAUGUAGCCUCCCCUGAACCGAAUGUUGACCUUCUGAGAGUCGGGUUGUUUGGGAUUGCAGCCCUAAAUGGGAGAUAAACUUCUUCUAAGGCUAAAUAUUUAUGGGAAACCGAUAGCGAACAAGUACUGUGAAGGAAAGGUGAAAAGAACUUUGAAAAGAGGGUUAAAAGACUUGAAAUCGUUGAGAAGGAAGCAGUAGAAGUGGAUUUAAGUUAGCUAUGAAGUAAGCCAUGUAAGGAACCAGCUCGUAGUGGUGUUAGUACGUCAUUGGCUUAGCUGCUACGAAGUAAUGGCACUUUAUGGUGGUUUCAUGGCUAAAGGGCAGAACCAGGUCUAUCUUGUUGGAAUCAGUGGGGGGAAAGUCCCGGUUUCGGCCGGAGUCCCUCUACAAAACAACAAAUUGGCCUGAGGAUUUCGGUUCUGCCACAACGGCUUC